AUGGACAACAAGAGAGCAUCUCCUGCCACCUUCCUCGAUUGCAUCCCAUCAUUCCCAGCAUCCCCCCGCUGCCUCGACAUGUCCGCCGCCGUCGGCUCGCCGUACCGGGCCGCCCCCGCCGCGCAGCACCGCCGGAGGGGGCGCCCCGGCGCCGUCACGCUCCGGUGCUCCAAGGUGGCUGCGGCCGCGGCCGCGCCCAUCCUGGACGACCUGAGGCUGCAGUGCGCGACGCCGCUCCCCCUGCUGCGGCACGUGGCGGGCGCCAUGGCCGCCGGCAUGCGCACCGGGCUCGCGGCCGACGGCGCCGGCGAGCUCAAGAUGAUCCCCAGCUACGUCUACUCGCUCCCCACUGGGAGUGAAACAGGGCUGUUCUAUGCUCUGGAUCUGGGAGGAACCAACUUCAGAGUGCUGAGGGUGCAGCUGGGUGGAAAAGACAGGCGCGUCGUCGACACCGAGUCCGAGCAAGUGUCGAUCCCAAAAGAAAUCAUGCAUGGUACAACUGAGGAGCUGUUCGAUUUUAUCGCGGCGCGCCUAUCGAAUUUUGUAGCGAAGGAGGGUGGUAAUUUUCAUCUUCAGAAAGGUCGAAAAAGGGAGAUAGGCUUUACAUUCUCCUUCCCGGUGAAGCAGACUUCUAUUGACUCGGGUAUUCUGAUCAAGUGGACCAAGGGUUUCGCUGUAUCUGGGACUGCCGGGAAGGAUGUGGUUGCCUGUCUGAAUGCCGCCAUGGAGAGGCAGGGGCUUGACAUGAGUGUGUCUGCUCUGGUAAAUGAUACCGUUGGAGCCUUAGCUGGAGCGCACUAUUGGGACGAGGAUGUGAUGGUUGCGGUGAUUUUGGGCACCGGCACAAAUGCUUGCUACAUUGAGCGAACUAAGUCCAUCCCAAAGCUCCAACACCUCGGGCUUGGAACAGGAAACACGAUUAUCAACACCGAGUGGGGAGCUUUUUCAGAUGGUCUUCCACUAACUGAAUUUGACAGGGACAUGGAUGCCGAGAGCAUAAAUCCAGGUGAACAGAUAUUCGAGAAGACGAUUUCCGGGAUGUACCUUGGAGAAAUUGUUCGGAGGGUGGUGGCCAAGAUGGCUCAAGAGUCUGAUCUGUUCGGUCACUCAUUGGCUGAUAAACUAGCUGAGCCAUUUGUUCUAAGAACUCCACAUUUGUGUGCUAUGCAACAAGAUAACUCCGACAAUCUUGGACAAGUUGAAUCAAUUUUGCGCGACACCAUCGGUGUCAGCCAAUCUUCUGUAGCAGCACGAAGGUUCAUCGUAGAAGUUUCCGAUUGUGUCGUCAAGAGAGGCGGGAGAUUGGCGGGCGCUGGCAUUGCUGGCAUUCUUCAGAAGAUGGAGAAUGAUUCCAAGGGACUGAUCUUAGGGAGAAGGACAGUGGUAGCGAUGGACGGCGGACUUUACGAGAAUUACCCUCAGUACAGGUCAUAUAUGGUUGAGGCUAUGGCGGAGCUGCUCGGUCCACGGGACAUGGAGCACAUCAUCGUCGAGCACACCAAAGACGGCUCGGGCAUCGGUGCGGCACUUUUGGCAGCCGCAAACUCAAAAUAUGCAGCAGCUCAGCUCUCGGCGUGA
rnacentral:rRNA from 1 species